rnacentral:piRNA from 1 species
UCCAGCAGCCCAUGGGUAUAGCCCUC